UUUGUUACUCAGUAAACUGUAUUGUCCUUAUUAGGUGGAAUGCAUCAUGCUGAGCUGUUUCCACGGGAAGCCCCAGGGGAAGAACCACACGAUUCCUACUUGUAGUGUCAUAUACAGUAACCAGGCUCUUACUGGUGCUGCUGUCUUCAGGGCACUGUGGUUGGGAGAAUGAGCUCUUUCAACAUAUGUAAUUCCAUUACAAUUUUUUAGGAACCUUGGUUUUAAGAGCAAAUUAGCAGAAGGCUAUUAGCAAUAGUGAUAACAGCUUUAGUGUUAAUGGAGUCCUUUUGGCACGAUUUCCCAAAUUGAAGCCUAGCAGUUGACAGAGCAUAUACGAUUGUGUUGCACUAUUGCUAUAUUAACUAGCUGCCAUUAGAGUCUCGGUGUAUUACUUCAUUUUUUUUGGCCUGGUUAAUGUUUACUACAUAUUGUCUGACAUCAGAGUUCAAAGGUCAGGCUGACAUGAGAGGCACACGUAAAGAAUAAUGAGGAGCUGAGGAGGUGAGCAAAUCUGUCAGGAAAGUGAAGCGUGGACAGCAUCAUGGUGGGAAUCUCAGAGUUUCAAAAGAUCGGUGUGGGUUUGUCAGGCUUCGGCAUAUUCUUCCUGUUAUUUGGAGUGUUGCUGUACUUUGACUCUGUCUUGCUGGCAUUUGGUAACAUCUUGUUCCUGACUGGUCUGGCCUUCAUCAUUGGCCUGAGAAGAACGGCUCACUUCUUCUUCCAGAGGCAAAAACUCAGAGCUUCCUCCUUUUUCCUGGGUGGUGUGGCUUUAGUGGUGCUCCGAUGGCCACGCAUAGGCAUGCUCGUGGAGAGUUAUGGCUUUGUGCUUCUGUUUAAGUCAUUUUUCCCGAUGGCGUUUGGAUUUCUUGGAACAGUACUGAAUAUGCCGUUCCUCACUACAACACAGUGCAGAGAUUUUCCUUUUGGGAACUGUGGAGGCUACUAGAAAUGCUUCUGAUUGCAGCGAUACUCCUGUUAUCAGUUAGACUUGGUGAGAGCAAUCCCACAAGAGAGUACACUGAAGAUGAGACUCCAGAGGAUCGAGUGCUUGAGGUUUUGCAGAGAAUUGCUGCACGGCCCACACACAAACCUCUGGCGUCCAAACACUCGUCUCACCUCUUCAUGGACAUGUCUGACCCAUGGCUAAAGCCACGAUUUCCCAGAAGUUCAUGGUGGUGGUACAUUGAAAAGCCUCAUGCUGAAACCAAGAGGAGGCAGAAUCUAGCCUCAUAUAAUCUGAAUUCAU